rnacentral:rRNA from 1 species
CUGCAGCUCAAGUGGUGACCGCUAUUAUUGGGCCUAAAACGUCCGUAGCCUGUUUAGUAAAUGCCUGGGUAAAUCGUGUAGCUUAACUAUACGAAUUCCGGGUAGACUGCUAAACUUGAGACCGGGAGAGGCUAGAGGUACUCCUGGGGUAGAGGUGAAAUUCUGUAAUCCUAGGGGGACCACCAGUGGCGAAGGCGUCUAGCUAGAACGGGUCUGACGGUGAGGGACGAAGCCCUGGGGCACAAACCGGAUUAGAUACCCGAGUAGUCC